AUUGAACGCUGGCGGCAGGCCUAACACAUGCAAGUCGAACGAGUGGCGGACGGGUGAGUAAUGUCUGGGAAACUGCCUGAUGGAGGGGGAUAACUAAUGGAAACGGUAGCUAAUACCGCAUACCAGCAGAUGUGCCCAUAUGGGAUUAGCUUGUUUGUGGGGUAACGGCUCACCAAGGCGACGAUCCCUAGCUGGUCUGAGCGGAUGACCAGCCAAACUGGAACUGAGACACGGUCCCAACCACUACGGGUGGCAGGUGGGGGGAAUAUUGCACAAUGGGCGCAAGCCUGAUGCAGCCAUGCCGCGUGUAUGAAGAAGGCCUUCGGGUUGUAAAGGACUUUCAGCGGGGAGGCGUUACCCGCAGGAGAAGCACCGGCUAACUCCGUGCCAACAGCCGCGGUAAUAC
rnacentral:rRNA from 1 species